UCUAAGUUUGAUGGCGACCGGCGCACGGGCGAGUAACACGUAUCCAACCUGCCGAUGACUCGGGGAUAGCCUUUCGAAAGAAAGAUUAAUACCCGAUGGCAUAGUUCUUCCGCAUGGUGGAACUAUUAAAGAAUUUCGGUCAUCGAUGGGGAUGCGUUCCAUUAGGUUGUUGGCGGGGUAACGGCCCACCAAGCCUUCGAUGGAUAGGGGUUCUGAGAGGAAGGUCCCCCACAUUGGAACUGAGACACGGUCCAAACUCCUACGGGAGGCAGCAUG
rnacentral:rRNA from 1 species